UACGUAGGGGGCAAGCGUUGUCCGGAUUUAUUGGGCGUAAAGAGCGUGUAGGCGGCCCGAUAAGUCCGCUGUGAAAGUCCAGGGCUCAACCCUGGGAUGCCGGUGGAUACUGUCGGGCUCGAGUCCGGAAGAGGCGAGUGGAAUUCCUGGUGUAGCGGUGAAAUGCGCAGAUAUCAGGAGGAACACCGAUGGCGAAGGCAGCUCGCUGGGACGUGACUGACGCUGAGACGCGAAAGCGUGGGGAGCAAACAGG
rnacentral:rRNA from 1 species